AAACGUAGGAGGCGAGCGUUAUCCGGAUUUACUGGGCGUAAAGCGUGUGUAGGCGGUUUGAUAAGUUGGAUGUGAAAGCUCCUGGCUUAACUGGGAGAGGUCGUUCAAAACUAUCAGACUCGAGAGUGGUAGAGGGAGGUGGAAUUCCGCGUGUAGUGGUGAAAUGCGUAGAUAUGCGGAGGAACACCAGUGGCGAAAGCGGCCUCCUGGCCCAUUUCUGACGCUCAGACACGAAAGCUAAGGUAGCAAACGGGAUUAGAGACCCCGGUAGUCUUAGCUGUAAACGAUGUGAACUUAGUGUCGGUGGGGUUAAAUCCAUCGGUACUGUAGCUAACGCGAUAAGUUCACCGCCUGGGGACUACGGCCGCAAGGUUAAA
rnacentral:rRNA from 1 species